AAAAUAAAAUUUGAUUUUAAAAAAAUUUAAUUUUUAAACUAGGAUUAGAUACCCUAUUAUUUUAAGCUUAAUGUUGGUAGUAAGUAAAAAUUAUGAAAUCAUAAAAUUUUGGCGGUAUUUUAAGCUUGUUAGAGGAAUUUGCUCUAUAAUGGAUACAACGCCUAUAUCUUACUUAAUUUUGUAAUUAAAGUCAGUUUGUAUACCACUAUAUUUAAUUAUAUUGAAUAAUUAUAUUUAAGAUUUUUAUAUAAGUAUAUAUUAAGUCAAGGUGCAACAAAUAAUUA
rnacentral:rRNA from 1 species